AAGUACAGAGAGGUACUUUCCAGGUGUCAUGUGGAACUGGAUGGUGGUGGCCAUGCUCCUCAAACCCCAAGAUCGUCCCUGUCCCACACGCAUACUCCAUGUGGACUCCAUUGACUUUUCUGUCUCUCUCACUGGACUGUAAGCUUUGGAUGGCCUCACACUCCUACACUCGUUUUUGUGUCAAUGGUAUGAACCACAGUGUCUGAAACAUAUGUGUUGAAUGACUGAGACACGUCAUAGUGAGGCUGUGAUCAUUUGAGAAUAUUAUAGCUCUCCUACGGGACAAAGAGGGAGACAGCCUUUUACAUCUGGAUCAUCGUGGUAACCAGAGAUCAGAGAGCAAGGAAGGUCUUCUGGGAAUGGAUUGGAAGGGUCUGGAGGGAUGCGUGUGUGUGUGUGUGUGUCAGGGUGGGUGUAGGGGGAAUGUGACGGUGGGGAAUGAUCAUUGCAAAAUAAGUUUGAGACCAAAUAGGGAAGGAUCUGUACCCAAUACACUAAAACCUGGAGACAACUCUCCCAUGAUUACUUGAUUUCAGAUAUAAAGAGCUUGGCAAUUGGCUCCCUUCCUCAACUCAUCAUGUGUUUUCAAAUAGUUCAGCUUUUAUAGAAGAAAGAGGAAAUAGAGUAGAAGAGAAACCACGGAGGGUGGUGGGUGAUUCCUUGCGUCCACGAUAUUCUCCAAUAUUGAAAAAUGAAACCAAUGUUCAAAAAUGAACUCCCGGUAAACCAGAUGUUUCCUGGAAUCGCCCGCGCUAACCCUGGAAGACCCAGCGAGCCAAAGGACCCAGGAGCAUCCGCUAGGAGGCUGAGGCCCAGAGCCGGCAACCUCCUCGGGCUGCCGGCACAAGGGCGUGACGUGCAUUCAGUAGAAACUAUACUUUGAAUUUUGAACUUUUCAAGACUAGCAACACGUGGGACGAUUCUCUCCCAUGAUGCUGGGUGGCAGCCGUAGCUCCCAGGGACCCACGUGAUCAUCAAGGUCAACAACCGAUGUGCUUACAACCACUGUGUACCCAUACGACCGUUCUGUUUUUCACUUUUAGUACAGCAUUUAAAAAAUUGCAUGAAAUCGUGGACACUAAGAUGACACUAAGUUUGACACUAAAAUAGUGUCAAACACAAAACUUUGUGUUUGAUGAUUUUGCGCAACUGGGGUCUAAGCACAGAGUAUCCUGAGCACUUUUAAGGUAGGCGAGGCUAAGAUACAAUGUUUGUUGGGUUAGGUAUCACUUUCAGGUUAAAUAAGUUAAAUGUACUUUCAGCUUUGGGUAUUUUCCCUCGAUGAUGGGUUUAUUGGGGCAAAACCCCACUGUCCAUCAAAGAGGAUCUCUACUUCAUUCUCUGCUCUUCUGUAGUUUCUCUUCUAUUUCUCUUUUCAUCAAUGUGUGAACACUAUUUACAGAAAGGAAAUUGCACAAUUUCUUUCCAAAGGCUCUAAGUAGCUCUGAGAAAGCCCUGCUUGCCUUGUUGGUCAAUGUCAUUGAGAAAUGAGUGGAAACCUUGGUGAGCAUCUCCAUCUUUGUGGCUCCGUAUCUGCUAACGGAGAACAACACCAACUGCUUUUACCAUUGCCCUCUAAUUCCCCAAAGAGUGACUUCCAAAUAAAUCUCUGUACUAAAGAUCAUGUGGGUUCCUACAUGAUUCCAUUGUCUGGCAUAGUCAACAAUGUCAACCACAUCAUUAUCGACAUUUGGGGCCGGAUGAUCCCUCGGUAUAGGGGCUCUCUGUGCAUUUUAGGAUGUCUAGCAGGUGCCAGUAGCACCGCAUCCGUUAUGACAACCCACAGGGACUCCAGAUACCGUCACAUGUCUUCCAAGGGGACACAAUUGUCCCCAGCUGAAAACCAGUGUAGUAACUCUAUUCAUAUCAGAUAAGUAUGAUAACAGGAGGCAGAAAAAGAAAAAAGAAAAAAGAAGUCUUUGGGAUUUAAUCUAAUGUGCCCUCAGGGAACAUGAGAAAGAACAGACAUAAAAACAAAAAUGUCUAACUAGUAAUUUUACAGAAGUCCUCCAGAUGAGGCUAUGAUUAAAUGUCAAGUCAGAAUGGCAACUAAAGCUGUCCCUGUAUCUCCCACCCCCGCCCGAAGCCUCCCUCCCCUAGUGAAGUGGAAGAAGGAAUCUCAGGGAAACCUCAACAUAUAACCUGACGUUACACGCAAAAUGUUAUGCAUAUUGCAAUGCUCUGGGGCACUUUGACCAGAUCAUCACAGAAACCUAAAAUACGAAGAGGCAAAGAGCUACUUCUUGAAAGCAUUACCCACUUCGCUGGUACAGAAAGUCACACAUAACCCACUUUGGAGAAGACUAUACAUCGCCUCGAAAUAACUCCAGAAGAUGUAAGUUCUCAUUUGUGUUGUAUUCUUUCACUAUCCGUAAUCACACACUAAAAAUGGCCAAUUUACAGAAGUAGAUGACUGCGUGUCUCCCAUCCAAGUACCAAGCAGGUACUUAGCUUGCUUAGCUUAGCUUCCCAGAUCAGACGGGUCGGUCGCGUUCAGGGGGGCAUGGCCGUAGGCGAUAACUGCAGGUCAAUUUUAAAUAUGUUUUUAACAGAAGUUUAAAAUAGAACAGAAUUUAAAUCCUUUGCCUUUUUGUUGAAAAAGAAUUGUAGUUUUACUCUUCAAAAAUACAAUUAUGCUAUAAUAUUA